rnacentral:rRNA from 1 species
UACGGGGGGGGCUAGCGUUGUUCGGAAUUACUGGGCGUAAAGGGCGCGUAGGCGGCCUACUAAGUCGGACGUGAAAUCCCUCGGCUCAACCAAGGAAGUGCAUCCGAAACUGACGAGCUUGAGUACUUAAGAGGAUCGCGGAAUUCCCGGUGUAGAGGUGAAAUUCGUAGAUAUCGGGAGGAACACCAGUGGCGAAGGCGGCGAUCUGGGAAGAUACUGACGCUGAGGUGCGAAAGCGUGGGGAGCAAACAGG